UUUGUUUGUUUGUUUCUGAGUAGUGGAAAAAUGAAACUGCAGUUUAGACAUCAUGUGUGUCUCGGAUUUGUUCAGGUGUCCAUAAUAUUUCAGCUUCUUCCAGCUUUAGAUGAGUGCUAGCCUCUGAGGUGCCCCACCCGGGAUCGGCCAGAAAGCACCUAAGGAAACCCAGCUCUCACCUUGGAAGCUUGCCUUCAGCAAUCUCAAGUUGGGGUUACACUUCUCGGUGGUCCAAUAGCCCGGAGACCCUGGGUAUUCGCCAGUCGCUGACUCUGAAACGCGCCUGUCUGCGAGAUCCCAAAUAGGAGAUGGAAGGAAGGCUAAGUGAGUU